AUAUAGUUUAUCAAAACAUUAGACUGUGAAUCUGAAAAUAAGAAAUAAAACUCUUUAUCUACC
rnacentral:tRNA from 1 species